rnacentral:rRNA from 1 species
UACGAAGGGGGCUAGCGUUGUUCGGAAUUACUGGGCGUAAAGGGCGCGUAGGCGGUCCUGAUCGUCGGAUGUGAAAGGCCUGGGCUCAACCUGGGAACUGCAUCCGAUACGGCGGGACUGGAGUGUGGGAGAGGUUGGUGGAAUUCCCAGUGUAGAGGUGAAAUUCGUAGAGAUGUGGAGGAAUACCGAUGGCGAAGGCAGCCCCCUGGGCCAAUACUGACGCUCAUGCACGAAAGCGUGGGGAGCAAACAGG